GUUGGGUAGGGGAGCGUUCUGUAAGCCUGUGAAGGUGGCCUGUGAGGGUUGCUGGAGGUAUCAGAAGUGCGAAUGCUGACAUAAGUAACGAUAAAGCGGGUGAAAAGCCCGCUCGCCGGAAGACCAAGGGUUCCUGUCCAACGUUAAUCGGGGCAGGGUGAGUCGACCCCUAAGGCGAGGCCGAAAGGCGUAGUCGAUGGGAAACGGGUUAAUAUUCCCGUACUUGGUGUUACUGCGAAGGGGGGACGGAGAAGGCUAUGUUGGCCGGGCGACGGUUGUCCCGGUUUAAGCGUGUAGGUGUGUGUUCCAGGUAAAUCCGGUUCACUUUAACACUGAGGCGUGACGACGAGGCACUACGGUGCUGAAGCAACAAAUGCCCUGCUUCCAGGAAAAGCCUCUAAGCAUCAGGUAACAUCAAAUCGUACCCCAAACCGACACAGGUGGUCAGGUAGAGAAUACCAAGGCGCUUGAGAGAACUCGGGUGAAGGAACUAGGCAAAAUGGUGCCGUAACUUCGGGAGAAGGCACGCUGACACGUAGGUGAAGUGAUUUACUCAUGGAGCUGAAGUCAGUCGAAGAUACCAGCUGGCUGCAACUGUUUAUUAAAAACACAGCACUGUGCAAACACGAAAGUGGACGUAUACGGUGUGACGCCUGCCCGGUGCCGGAAGGUUAAUUGAUGGGGUCAGCGCAAGCGAAGCUCCUGAUCGAAGCCCCGGUAAACGGCGGCCGUAACUAUAACGGUCCUAAGGUAGCGAAAUUCCUUGUCGGGUAAGUUCCGACCUGCACGAAUGGCGUAAUGAUGGCCAGGCUGUCUCCACCCGAGACUCAGUGAAAUUGAACUCGCUGUGAAGAUGCAGUGUACCCGCGGCAAGACGGAAAGACCCCGUGAACCUUUACUAUAGCUUGACACUGAACAUUGAGCCUUGAUGUGUAGGAUAGGUGGGAGGCUUUGAAGUGUGGACGCCAGUCUGCAUGGAGCCGACCUUGAAAUACCACCCUUUAAUGUUUGAUGUUCUAACGUGGACCCGUAAUCCGGGUUGCGGACAGUGUCUGGUGGGUAGUUUGACUGGGGCGGUCUCCUCCUAAAGAGUAACGGAGGAGCACGAAGGUUGGCUAAUCCUGGUCGGACAUCAGGAGGUUAGUGCAAUGGCAUAAGCCAGCUUGACUGCGAGCGUGACGGCGCGAGCAGGUGCGAAAGCAGGUCAUAGUGAUCCGGUGGUUCUGAAUGGAAGGGCCAUCGCUCAACGGAUAAAAGGUACUCCGGGGAUAACAGGCUGAUACCGCCCAAGAGUUCAUAUCGACGGCGGUGUUUGGCACCUCGAUGUCGGCUCAUCACAUCCUGGGGCUGAAGUAGGUCCCAAGGGUAUGGCUGUUCGCCAUUUAAAGUGGUACGCGAGCUGGGUUUAGAACGUCGUGAGACAGUUCGGUCCCUAUCUGCCGUGGGCGCUGGAGAACUGAGGGGGGCUGCUCCUAGUACGAGAGGACCGGAGUGGACGCAUCACUGGUGUUCGGGUUGUCAUGCCAAUGGCACUGCCCGGUAGCUAAAUGCGGAAGAGAUAAGUGCUGAAAGCAUCUAAGCACGAAACUUGCCCCGAGAUGAGUUCUCCCUGAGACUUAGAGUCUCCUGAAGGAACGUUGAAGACGACGACGUUGAUAGGCCGGGUGUGUAAGCGCAGCGAUGCGUUGAGCUAACCGGUACUAAUGAACCGUGAGGCUUAACCUUACAACGCCGAAG
rnacentral:rRNA from 10 species